AUGGGUCUGAUGAUGCGCAAGAACGGCCUCUCCGCUGACAACGUCCUCGACGCCACCAUGGUCGAUGCUGAAGGGAACCUCCUGGCGAACAAGAAGGCCAUGGGGGACGACCUCUUCUGGGCUAUCCGCGGCGGCGGUGGCGGGAACUUCGGCAUCGUGCUGUCAUGGAAGCUGAGGCUCGUGCCGGUCCCACCGAAGGUGGCCUUCUUCAAUGUCACCAAGACCAUGGACCAGGGCGCGGUCGACGCGGUCACCAAAUGGCAAACGAUCGCGCCGGCGCUCCCCGAAGACCUCAGCGUACGUGUCAUCGUCCAGAAUCGUCAGGCGACCUUCCAGUCCCUGUACCUCGGCAACUGCAGCGCCGUGGUGGCGACGAUGCGCAGCCGGUUCCCGGAGCUCGGCCUGAAGCGCGGCGACUGCAAGGAGAUGAGCUGGCUGCAGCACAAGGCGUACCUAUACUUUGGCAAAGCCAGCAACAACAAGCCGCUGGAGGCGCUCCUCCUCAACCGGUCCAUGACCAUAGGCCCCUUUGUCAAGAACAAGUCCGACUAUGUCAAGAAGGCCCUCACCCGGGAUGCAUGGGAGAAGAUCUUCCUCUGGCCCGAUGGCGGGGCGGUGGGGCAGCUCAUCCUGGAGCCGCACGGCGGAAUGAUGAGCCGCAUCGCUGAUGACUACACGCCGUUCCCGUACCGGAGCGGCGUGCUGUACAACAUCCAGUACGUCGAGUUCUGGAAUGGCACAGGGGGGCACAGCAUGCCGAAAUGGCUCAGCGGCCUCUACGACUUCAUGGCACCGCUGGUUAGCAAGAGCCCGAGGGGUGUGUAUGUCAACUACCGGGACCUCGACAUUGGCGUGAACAAGGUGGUCGCUGGUGUGACGAGCUAUGAGACUGCCAAGGUGUGGGGUGAGAGGUAUUUCGGUCUGGCAAACUUUAAGAGACUCGCCAAGAUCAAGCGUAAGGUGGAUGCCACCGACUACUUCCGGAACGAGCAGAGCGUGCCGCCACUUCUCUUGAUCAGGGAAUGA
rnacentral:rRNA from 1 species